UCAGGUGGCUUUGGCGACGGGGUCCACCCCUUACCAUUCCGAACAGGGAAGUUAAGCCCGUCAGCGCCGAUGGUACUGCCUCACAAGGUGGGAGAGUAGGUCGCCGCCUCCU
rfam:Robiginitalea biformata HTCC2501, complete genome.